UACGUAGGGUGCGAGCGUUAAUCGGAAUUACUGGGCGUAAAGCGUGCGCAGGCGGUUAUAUAAGACAGAUGUGAAAAUCCCCGGGCGUCAACCUGGGAACGUAGCAUUAGUGACUGUAUAGCUAGAGUGCGGCGAGAGGGGGGUGGGAAUUACUGCGUGUAGCAGUGAAAUAGCGUAGAGAUGCGGAGGAACACCGAUGGCGAAGGCAGCCCCCUCGGGAGUAACACUGACGCUCAUGCCCGAAACGCGUGGGGA
rnacentral:rRNA from 1 species